rnacentral:rRNA from 1 species
UGGGGAAUAUUGGACAAUGGGCGCAAGCCUGAUCCAGCCAUGCCGCGUGAGUGAUGAAGGCCCUAGGGUUGUAAAGCUCUUUUGUCCGGGACGAUAAUGACGGUACCGGAAGAAUAAGCCCCGGCUAACUUCGUGCCAGCAGCCGCGGUAAUACGUAGGGCGCAAGCGUUGUCCGGAUUUAUUGGGCGUAAAGAGCUCGUAGGCGGCCUGUCGCGCUGCUGUGAAAGUCCGGGGCUUAACUCCGGGUGUGCAGUGGAUACGGGCAGGCUUGAGGUAGGUAGGGGAGACUGGAAUUCCUGGUGUAGCGGUGAAAUGCGCAGAUAUCAGGAGGAACACCGGUGGCGAAGGCGGGUCUCUGGGCCUUACCUGACGCUGAGGAGCGAAAGCGUGGGGAGCGAACAGGAUUAGAUACC